rnacentral:rRNA from 1 species
UACGAAGGGGGCUAGCGUUGCUCGGAAUCACUGGGCGUAAAGCGCACGUAGGCGGAUCUUUAAGUCAGGGGUGAAAUCCCAAGGCUCAACCUUGGAACUGCCUUUGAUACUGGGGAUCUCGAGUCCGGAAGAGGUGAGUGGAACUGCGAGUGUAGAGGUGAAAUUCGUAGAUAUUCGCAAGAACACCAGUGGCGAAGGCGGACUCACUGGUCCGGUACUGACGCUGAGGUGCGAAAGCGUGGGGAGCAACAGG